rnacentral:lncRNA from 1 species
GGGCCAACGUGUCUUCACCAUCUUCAUUGGAAAUAAGAUUGCAAAGCUUGACAUGGAUGUCAUUCAGCUGAGCGGUGGUUCUCGCAUUCCGGUGUAUCUAGACUUCAGUGUGCUUGUUGGUUUUGAAAGUGGGCCGCGACCUGAUCUACGACUUGACUUGCAUCCUUACACGGACAGUGGCCCAAAGUAUUACGAUGCUAUUCUCAAUGGCGUAGAGAUCCUCAAGCUUAGUGUCUCUGGCGGAAAUCUUGCUGGACCUAAUCCUAAUCCUACGUCAGGUCUUACUCCAAACUCUGUAAAUCAAGAUAUACAAAAACCCAAAGCCAAGUCACACGUUUUGGUAAUAACACUUGGAACUGUUGGGUUUGCAAUUGUGUUAGCAAUGUUUAUUGUUGUUGUCAUCGUCAUGAAGAGGAGGAAGAAGAAAAAGAAGGUUAAUGUAGACACCAAGAGCAAGCCUACGGACUCGUGGACUACUCUUCCGCUUGUUGCCGGGUCCUCCCAUACCAGAUCGACCACAUCUCUUCCAUCCGAUCUCUGCCGUCGGUUCUCCAUCCUCGAGAUCAAAUCCGCCACAAACAAUUUCGAGAAAAAGCUGAUCGUUGGAGUAGGCGGGUUUGGUCCUGUCUACAAAGGAAGAAUCGACGGUGGAGCCACGCUUGUGGCUGUUAAACGGUUAGAUGUUUCAUCCAACCAAGGCGCUACCGAGUUCGAAGCAGAGCUCAAGAUGCUCUCGGUGCUCCGUCAUAUACAUCUCGUUUCCUUAAUCGGAUAUUGCGACGAUGUUCCUCUCUCUCUCUCUCUCUCUCUCUCUCUCUCUCUCUCUCUCUCUCUCUCUCUCACGAAACGUACAACUAGUUAAACUGGUACAACUAUUAGCAGUUGUACAACAAAUAAUUGCUUGGCUACAACAGCGACAAAAAUGCUAGCGACAACGACUACGAAGAAACCAUCUACGAAGAAAGAAGCGACGAAGAAAGCAACAGUGAGGGAAGCAGAAACGAGGGAAACGAAAACGAGGGAAGUGAUAAAUGAGUUUUGCUUAUGUGUUAUGAACAUUGCUUAUGUGUUGUGGAACUUAUUCAUGUGUUAGGGAUGCUAUUUAUGUGUUUUUAAACUUUGCAAUGGAGAAAAUUUGUAAUGUAUUGUUUCUGUCAGAUAUUACUGGUACAAUUGGUACUUCAUAUAAUACACAUUCAUGUUUAUGUGUUAUAACACUGGAAAAACUAGUACAACUAUACAAGUUGUAAAGUCUUUAGAAUGGUACAUCCUAACUAUUAGAAGUUUUAUCAAAAAAAAUCCGCAAUUAUAAACAAUCACAUAAGUUUCCAUUAUUUACCUUAUAAUUUAAAGGUUUGUUUACUUGUUUGUUCACUAUAUUUUUGAAAAAUAUACACUGGAUAUAUUUUAACAAAGUUAAUGAUUCCAUAGUAUGUGAUUCUAGGUAUUUAAAUAUAUACAAGUAGUACAACUGAUGUAUCUUUAUUUAAUAUUUGGUACAACUAGAUAUUUCAAAUUCUGGACCAAAAUACAACUAUGUACAAACUUGUACAACCCAAAACUCGGUACAACUAUGUAUACGAUUGUACAACUAAAAUAUUGGUACAACUACAUGUUAAUAAAUUUGGCACAUUUUAAUUGUUUACCACAUUUAAAUGCUCACUACGUUUUAAACAUGAUAGUUUUACCUUCUUUCGUUUAGUUGUACAAAUUGUACCCGUCAGAGUAAUUUUGUCAUAGUUAAUCUGGUUAAUUUAAUUAUACCAAAAACCUGUCAAGUUUAAACCUUUUGAAUUAACCCUAAAAACUUUUAAAUGUGCACUUUAACCUAUAUGGUAUUAUGCAUAUGCAAUAGAAACAUUUAGAUUCAUCUUAAAUAGUUUAAAUGUCUAAAAAAUGUUAAAAUGUAUUAAAUUCAUGAGAUAUAAAUAUUUCAUGUUUUAAACAUGAUUUUGUAUCAUUCAUUUAUUUUCUGGUAAAACCAUUCAUUUACUGGUAAAACUGGCAUAACAUUACAUUGUAUCCAAAAUUGUAUUUCUAGUAUAACUGUCAUUUCAAAAUUGAGAAAAUAGUGUGGGUUAUUGGUUAUACUAUUUUGAUAGAUUUACAAUUUUUUUAGAUUUAGAAAUCUUUGAUAAAUCCAUGAUUUUUAAAUCAAACAAGUGGAUUUUAAGAAUAAUUUAUGUAUUGCAAAAUCUAAAUAGAUUACUACCCAAUGUUAAAACAACAUAACUCAAGUUCUAGCACAAUUAAACUAGUAAUACUACUAUUGUAUCUAAACUAGUUGUACCACUUAUAUUAUUAUUGUCGUAGUCCAAACACCAAACAUGAAUGUUUAUGCAUCAUUUUCGAACUCAAAAAUGAUUUUUACAUAUUCCUUUGCACUUUGUUCUACUAAAUCUUCAUCUACUGUAAUUUUUUUCUAGCUUGCCAUCCACCGUCUUCGGCUUCGGAAGCAAAAAGAUGAAGAUGCAUAUUUUUUUGAAAAUAGUACAACUAGUAUAACUAGUACAACUUGCAAAUAAAUCAUUAUUAAAAUCAAAUAUUAUUGAAAAUUUACUAUUCAUGUAUUUUGACACAUGCAAGCGGGGAAGGUUAGAUCAACAUGUCUCAUUGGUUUCACAUCAUCCACUUUUCUAGCAUCACUCAUAUGCUGAAAUAAAAACGAAAUAUUGUCAUACUAAUUACAAAGUUAUACUAGUUAUACGCGUUUUAGUUGUACCAGUUAUACUUAAUGUAUUAGUACUAGUUAUAUUUGUUUUAGUUGUACUAGUUAUACUAGUGCGCGUUGUACUAGUUGUAUUAGUUAGAGUCAUACUAGUUGUACUGUACGCUGGGUUUUUUUUUGUCAUGAAUUUCGUGAGAAAAAAAUAAAAUUCAAUUUUUGAUAAGACAUAAUUGGUUACAUACAACUAUGGGUUGACCAAUUUUGGAUAAGAAAAAGAAAGUUAGUGAAUAUUUGAAGGAAAUUUUUGAUUUUUUAAAGGUGAAAGAAACAUCCAUGGAAAAAUAAAAAAAAGGAAGAAGAAAAAGAUGUUAUGUUGAUAACGAUGUGUGUCCCAGAAUUUGAUCCCAUAGAAUCGUAGAAACCGUGUUAUGUUGCAUCAUUUUAAAGUGGAAUGACACACGAACAAGUUGGACGUAUAACGACAAGGUGCUAAAUUAAAAGACAUGGAAGAAGUUUCGUCGGAAACUUCUUCUUUUGCUUGAGCUGAAAAGUCAGUUAAGGGUUGACCCGUUGACUUACUCACCACCACCCAUGGUUUUGCUUCAGUUUCUUAUCUUCUUCUUUACCAUUCACAAUAUCAUUCAACAACUCUCACUCUAUCAGUUCCUAUGACUUUUCAAGUUUUCUUAAUCUUCUCCAUUCUCGUUUCUACAGCCAUAGCAGGAGACGGUGCAACCGCUGCGUACGUUCCCACUGAUAUCUUUCUCUUCAACUGUGGCGAAACAUCCAACCAGAUGGACAUAAGUGGCCGUAACUGGAUGGCAGAGCAACCAAAUAUUCUUCCGUCAAAUGCAGCCAUAGCGUCGUUUGUUUCACAUGCGUCAUUCCAAGGAUCGGGAGUUCCUCAGGUUCCGUACAUGACUGCUCGAAUUUUCCGACAUGAUUUCACCUACAGUUUUCCCGUGUCUCCGGGCUGGAAGUUCCUCCGGUUAUACUUUUACCCUACCCGUUACAGUUCCGACCUCGAAGCUGCCGUAAACUCCUACUUCUCUGUCACCGUCAACGGUUUUACUCUCUUGAAGAACUUCCGUGCCGAUUUAACGGCAAAGGCUUCUCAUGAUGCGUCCAUAUUUAAGGAGUUCAUAGUCCCUGUUUCGAGUGGAUACACGAUGCUAAAUCUCACGUUCUCACCUUCUUUAAACAUGUUAGCUUUCGUGAACGGCAUCGAGAUUGUCUCCAUGCCUGAUCGGUUUUACUCCAAGGGAGGCUUCGACGACAAAAUAAAACAGGUAGGUAAUAGCAUUGACUUCGAGAUAAACAACAGCACGGCUUUCGAAACUGUUCACCGGCUAAACAUCGGUGGACAACUGAUUGACGGCAUAAGUGAUACAGGGAUGUUCCGGCCGUGGCUUGCUGAAAAGUUUCAACUAAGUGAAAAGUCGGGAAUCGUGCCAGUCGUUCCGGGUGUAAAGAUCAACUACAUGGAGAAUACUCCAGCGUAUGUCGCGCCGGAAGAUGUGUACACGACGUACCGUACAAUGGGUAACGCCGAGCAUCCUAGGCUGAACCAGAACUUCAAUCUGACAUGGCUCUUCCCAGUUGAUGCCGGGUUUAACUACCUCGUCAGGCUUCAUUUCUGUGAGACUCUAUCGGAUGUGAACGGACCGGGCCAACGUGUCUUCACCAUCUUCAUUGGAAAUAAGAUUGCAAAGCUUGACAUGGAUGUCAUUCAGCUGAGCGGUGGUUCUCGCAUUCCGGUGUAUCUAGACUUCAGUGUGCUUGUUGGUUUUGAAAGUGGGCCGCGACCUGAUCUACGACUUGACUUGCAUCCUUACACGGACAGUGGCCCAAAGUAUUACGAUGCUAUUCUCAAUGGCGUAGAGAUCCUCAAGCUUAGUGUCUCUGGCGGAAAUCUUGCUGGACCUAAUCCUAAUCCUACGUCAGGUCUUACUCCAAACUCUGUAAAUCAAGAUAUACAAAAACCCAAAGCCAAGUCACACGUUUUGGUAAUAACACUUGGAACUGUUGGGUUUGCAAUUGUGUUAGCAAUGUUUAUUGUUGUUGUCAUCGUCA